rnacentral:sRNA from 1 species
UCUUAGUUGCCUUUGGUCUAUCCCUGUCC